rnacentral:rRNA from 1 species
AUGGCGAACGGCGGCGACGGCGACGUCCCGGAGAACGCCAACGAGCAUUGCCCCGGGACGCAGUCGGAGGCGGCCGGGAAGGCGGAGUCCUGCGCCGGGUGCCCCAACCAGCAGAUCUGCGCCACCGCGCCCAAGGGCCCCGACCCAGACCUGCUUGCCAUCAUUGAGCGAAUGAAUACUGUGAAACAUAAGAUACUGGUGUUGUCUGGCCAGGGUGGUGUAGGGAAGAGUACUUUUUCAGCCCAGCUCUCAUUUGCCCUUGCUGAGAUGGACUAUCAGGUCGGCCUUCUUGACAUAGACAUAUGCGGACCUAGCAUCCCAAAACUGUUAGGCCUUGAAGGCCAGGAUAUUCACCAGUGUAUGUUGAGUCCAACCUUGGUGUCAUGUCAAUUGGCUUCAUGCUGCCAAACCCAGAUGAUGCUGUCAUAUGGAGAGAACAUGAGUGGCCUGAGGCAGGCACUUUCAGAUAUGAAAUUUGUGAAGCCAAGUGAGAAUGGCGAGACAGACGCCACCAAGUGGGCACUGGACUACAUCAAGGACAAGGCCCUGGAACUUCUAUCGCUCAUUGCAUGCAGCGAGGUGUUCGAUAGCAGCAAUGGUGGCGCCGAGAAGAUGUGCCACGAGAUGGGGGUCCCUUUCCUCGGGAAGGUGCCCAUGGAUCCGCAGCUCUGCAAGGCGGCGGAGGAGGGGAGAUCAUGCUUCACCGAUCAGAAGUGCAGUGCAAGCGCUCCAGCUCUUAAAAGCAUAAUCAAGAAGCUGAUCAAGACACAGUAG